rnacentral:rRNA from 1 species
AGAGUUUGAUCCUGGCUCAGAUUGAACGCUGGCGGCAUGCUUUACACAUGCAAGUCGAACGGCAGCGGGGGCUUCGGCCUGCCGGCGAGUGGCGAACGGGUGAGUAAUGCAUCGGAACGUGCCCAGUCAUGGGGGAUAACUACGCGAAAGCGUAGCUAAUACCGCAUACGCCCUGAGGGGGAAAGCGGGGGAUCGCAAGACCUCGCGUGAUUGGAGCGGCCGAUGUCGGAUUAGCUGGUUGGUGGGGUAAAGGCCUACCAAGGCGACGAUCCGUAGCGGGUCUGAGAGGAUGAUCCGCCACACUGGGACUGAGACACGGCCCAGACUCCUACGGGAGGCAGCAGUGGGGAAUUUUGGACAAUGGGGGCAACCCUGAUCCAGCCAUGCCGCGUGAGUGAAGAAGGCCUUCGGGUUGUAAAGCUCCUUCAGACGGAAAGAAAUCG